UCUAAUCAACCUCAACUGGAACAAGUGGACACAAUUCAAACCUAACGCUGUUUCAACCUAUAAAAACUUUGAAGAACUGGUGAAUGAAGAUUGAAAUUUCCUAUUCAAAUAGAAACAAGAAGAAAUAGUGGAAGAAGAUACAAAUUUUCAAAAUGGUUUAGCAACUAUAGAAGGCAGCCUCUAAAUUUUUCUCCUGUAUACAGAUACCAUUAUUUUGGUGAAAAAAAAAUUGCUUACAAAAACAUGUAUCACUGAAUUUGGGUUAGGAUUAUGAACAAAAACAUAAUUUAAGAGCCUGGAUAUGAUGAUGAACUUAACGUCACAUGAAGACCGCCAAUAUUUCAAGAAAAGUUACCAAUUACAAAAAUGUUCAAUUUAAAUGAAGUCUAGUAAUAGUUGUCUUUAAAUAUUCUGUAAUUUGGAUAAUCAUUUAAAAAAUGGACUUUUAAUUCUGAAUGUUUAAGGAUUUCUAUUACUAGUCUUUCGUCGAUCACAAAUUAAUGGUCAAAUAACGUAAUAAUGAAUAUAUGGGCCAUUAGAUUUAUAUUUAAGCGGAUAAUAUUUCAUAAAGCAAUCACAAUGAAUUGGAAAAGUUCUUUAAUAUGCACGGAUGCUAGAAACGACCUUUAUCGAUAACUGGAAGGUUCCAGAAGGGACAUCUAACAUUUAAAGUAAACCGGAAAGCGUAAUCAGUGAAAUUUUAAUGGUGUGAUAUUCGUUGGGCAUCGCUGAAAGUGGCGAAACGCAAUAUUAGCUGGCGAUUGAGCCUUACUCUACGUGUUAUUGCUGACAACAGCUGCACAGUUUAAUAACAGCUUCAUUAUAAACAAAGUCUUUCUUUCUAGCCACUUUAAAUUUUCAGCUCGACAGUAUGUUGCACUUUUUAUUUAUCCCGUUAUUGGAAUAUCUUUACUCAUAUUGACAGUAUUAACUUUUGUAAAAGCUCAACUUUGGCGACAACUGUUAAGAACGUUCCGUUUUAUUGUCUCUACUUAAUUUAAUACUUUUAUUAUCAAUAAAUGGAUCCAUUUCCUUUAAAAGUAUAUUGGAAUAUAACACCACAUUUUUUAUUCAUUAUAUCGUCUUUAUUAAAGUACUUUUCCUGAUUCAUGUAUGUUAUUCUAAUUGUAAUCUGUUUUAUACAUAUAUUGAGGUAGUAAGUUUUAGGUUUGUGAUGUCAUAACGAUGUAUAAUGUCACGGUAUUUUUCGAAAAGUCUUAGUCAAUUAGUUUUAAUUGAUUUCGAUUAUUCGAAAAAUCGUGACAUUAAUACAUACUAUGACAUCACAAAACCAAAAAUUUGCCACCUCAAUGAAAACUCUUUGUGAUUAAAUUUAUGUAAAAUAUUGUUUGUAUCUAAUUUUUGUAUUUAUAUGUAUUUUAUAAAAUUUACAAUCAUUAUAAAUGGCAUACCAAAAAUAAAAAUACUAAA